rnacentral:rRNA from 1 species
CAGCCGCCGCGGUAAUACGUAGGUCCCGAGCGUUGUCCGGAUUUAUUGGGCGUAAAGCGAGCGCAGGCGGUUAGAUAAGUCUGAAGUUAAAGGCUGUGGCUUAACCAUAGUACGCUUUGGAAACUGUUUAACUUGAGUGCAAGAGGGGAGAGUGGAAUUCCAUGUGUAGCGGUGAAAUGCGUAGAUAUAUCGAGGAACACCGGUGGCGAAAGCGGCUCUCUGGCUUGUAACUGACGCUGAGGCUCGAAAGCGUGGGGAGCAAACAGGAUUAGAUACCCCCGUAGUCCCUGUCUCUUAUACA